AACACCCGUACCCAUCCCGAACACGAUGGUUAAGCCCUAAGCGGCCGAUGGUACUGCACUGGAGACGGUGUGGGAGAGCAGGUGGCUGCCAGGA
rnacentral:rRNA from 1 species